AACGUGGGGGGCGAGCGUUGCCCGGAUUUACUGGGCGUAAAGCGCGCGUAGGCGGCUGCGUAAGUGGGGAGUUAAAGCCCUCGGCUCAACCGAGGAAACGCUCCUCAAACUGCGCGGCUUGAGUGUAGGAGAGGGGAGUGGAAUUCCCGGUGUAGCGGUGAAAUGCGUUGAUAUCGGGAGGAGCACCGGUGGCGAAGGCGGCUCCAUGGCCUACUACUGACGCUGAGGCGCGACAGCGUGGGGAGCGAACGGG
rnacentral:rRNA from 1 species